UACGUAGGGUGCGAGCGUUGUCCGGAAUUAUUGGGCGUAAAGAGCUUGUAGGCGGUUUGUCGCGUCUGCUGUGAAAAUCCGGGGCUCAACCCCGGACUUGCAGUGGGUACGGGCAGACUAGAGUGUGGUAGGGGAGACUGGAAUUCCUGGUGUAGCGGUGAAAUGCGCAGAUAUCAGGAGGAACACCGAUGGCGAAGGCAGGUCUCUGGGCCGGUACUGACGCUGAGGAGCGAAAGCGUGGGGAGCAAACAGG
rnacentral:rRNA from 1 species